rnacentral:rRNA from 1 species
GACGAACGCUGGCGGCGUGCUUAACACAUGCAAGUCGAACGGAAAGGCCCUGCUUGCAGGGUACUCGAGUGGCGAACGGGUGAGUAACACGUGGGUGAUCUGCCCUGCACUUCGGGAUAAGCCUGGGAAACUGGGUCUAAUACCGGAUAGGAGCCAUUUUUAGUGUGAUGGUUGGAAAGUUUUUUCGGUGUAGGAUGAGCUCGCGGCCUAUCAGCUUGUUGGUGGGGUAAUGGCCUACCAAGGCGGCGACGGGUAGCCGGCCUGAGAGGGUGGACGGCCACAGUGGGACUGAGAUACGGACCAGACGCCUACGGGAGGCAGCAGUGGGGAAUAUUGCACAAUGGGAGCAAGCCUGAUGCAGCGACGCCGCGUGGGGGAUGACGGCCUUCGGGUUGUAAACUCCUUUCGCUAGGGACGAAGCUUUUUGUGACGGUACCUAGAUAAGAAGCACCGGCUAACUACGUG